AGCCUUCUGUAUGCGGGCUGAGAUUUCGACAUACACCAGACCACAAGGGCUUAUGAGACUUCCAAGAUACGUGAAGCG
rfam:Schistosoma haematobium scaffold3447_2, whole genome shotgun sequence.